GGUGCUCGAGUGGCGAACGGGUGAGUAACACGUGGGUGAUCUGCCCUGCACUUCGGGAUAAGCUUGGGAAACUGGGUCUAAUACCGGAUAGGAGCCAUCUUUAGUGUGGUGGUUGGAAAGUUUCGGCGGUUGGGGAUGGACUCGCGGCUUAUCAGCUUGUUGGUGGGGUAGUGGCUUACCAAGGCUUUGACGGGUAGCCGGCCUGAGAGGGUGACCGGCCACAUUGGGACUGAGAUACGGCCCAG
rnacentral:rRNA from 1 species